rnacentral:rRNA from 1 species
AACAAGCCUGACGUGAGGAGGGCUGUAUUUAUUGGAUACGAAACUGAUGGCAGCGAUGCCUUUGGUGAUUCACAAUAACUGAACGGAUCGUAUGGCCUUGAGCUGACGACGUUUCAUUCAAAUUUCCGCCCUAUCAACUUUCGAUGGUACGGUAGAGGCCUACCAUGGUGAUAACGGGUAACGGGGAAUUGGGGUUCUAUUCCGGAGAGGGAGCCUGAGAAAUGGCUACCACGUCCAAGGAUGGCAGCAGGCGCGCAAAUUACCCAAUGCCGACACGGCGAGGUAGUGACAGAAAAUAACGAUGCGGGGCCGUGAGGCUUUGCAAUUGGAAUGAGAACAAUCUAAAUCGCUUAACGAGUAACGAUU